GCUGGGCAUGGUGGCACAUGCCUGUAAUCCCAGCAGCUUGGGAGGCUGAGGCAGGAGGAUCAGGAGUGUAAAACCAGCCUCAA
rnacentral:sRNA from 1 species